rnacentral:rRNA from 1 species
GGUUAAGCGACUAAGCGUACACGGUGGAUGCCCUGGCAGUCAGAGGCGAUGAAGGACGUGCUAAUCUGCGAAAAGCGUCGGUAAGGUGAUAUGAACCGUUACAGCCGGCGAUGUCCGAAUGGGGAAACCCAGUGCAAUUCGUUGCACUAUCGUUAACUGAAUACAUAGGUUAACGAGGCGAACCGGGGGAACUGAAACAUCUAAGUACCCCGAGGAAAAGAAAUCAACCGAGAUUCCCCCAGUAGCGGCGAGCGAACGGGGAGCAGCCCAGAGUCUGAAUCAGCUUGUGUGUUAGUGGAACGGUCUGGAAAGUCCGACGGUACAGGGUGAUAGUCCCGUACACCAAAAUGCACAGGUUGUGAACUCGAAGAGUAGGGCGGGACACGUGGUAUCCUGUCUGAAUAUGGGGGGACCAUCCUCCAAGGCUAAAUACUCCUGACUGACCGAUAGUGAACCAGUACCGUGAGGGAAAGGCGAAAAGAACCCCGGCGAGGGGAGUGAAAAAGAACCUGAAACCGUGUACGUACAAGCAGUGGGAGCACCUUCGGGUGUGACUGCGUACCUUUUGUAUAAUGGGUCAGCGACUUAUAUUCUGUAGCAAGGUUAACCGUAUAGGGGAGCCGCAGGGAAACCGAGUCUUAACUGGGCGUUAAGUUGCAGGGUAUAGACCCGAAACCCGGUGAUCUAGCCAUGGGCAGGUUGAAGGUUGGGUAACACUAACUGGAGGACCGAACCGACUAAUGUUGAAAAAUUAGCGGAUGACUUGUGGCUGGGGGUGAAAGGCCAAUCAAACCGGGAGAUAGCUGGUUCUCCCCGAAAGCUAUUUAGGUAGCGCCUCGUGAACUCAUCUUCGGGGGUAGAGCACUGUUUCGGCUAGGGGGUCAUCCCGACUUACCAACCCGAUGCAAACUACGAAUACCGAAGAAUGUUAUCACGGGAGACACACGGCGGGUGCUAACGUCCGUCGUGAAGAGGGAAACAACCCAGACCGCCAGCUAAGGUCCCAAAGUCAUGGUUAAGUGGGAAACGAUGUGGGAAGGCACAGACAGCCAGGAUGUUGGCUUAGAAGCAGCCAUCAUUUAAAGAAAGCGUAAUAGCUCACUGGUCGAGUCGGCCUGCGCGGAAGAUGUAACGGGGCUAAACCAUGCACCGAAGCUGCGGCAGCGACACUAUGUGUUGUUGGGUAGGGGAGCGUUCUGUAAGCCUGCGAAGGUGACCUGUGAGGGUUGCUGGAGGUAUCAGAAGUGCGAAUGCUGACAUAAGUAACGAUAAAGCGGGUGAAAAGCCCGCUCGCCGGAAGACCAAGGGUUCCUGUCCAACGUUAAUCGGGGCAGGGUGAGUCGACCCCUAAGGCGAGGCCGAAAGGCGUAGUCGAUGGGAAACAGGUUAAUAUUCCUGUACUUGGUGUUACUGCGAAGGGGGGACGGAGAAGGCUAUGUUAGCCGGGCGACGGUUGUCCCGGUUUAAGCAUGUAGGCUGGUUAUCCAGGCAAAUCCGGAUAAUCAAGGCUGAGGUGUGAUGACGAGGCACUACGGUGCUGAAGUAACAAAUGCCCUGCUUCCAGGAAAAGCCUCUAAGCAUCAGGUAACAUCAAAUCGUACCCCAAACCGACACAGGUGGUCAGGUAGAGAAUACCAAGGCGCUUGAGAGAACUCGGGUGAAGGAACUAGGCAAAAUGGUGCCGUAACUUCGGGAGAAGGCACGCUGGUGUGUAGGUGAAGUCCCUGCGGAUGGAGCUGAGACCAGUCGAAGAUACCAGCUGGCUGCAACUGUUUAUUAAAAACACAGCACUGUGCAAACACGAAAGUGGACGUAUACGGUGUGACGCCUGCCCGGUGCCGGAAGGUUAAUUGAUGGGGUUAUCCGUAAGGAGAAGCUCUUGAUCGAAGCCCCGGUAAACGGCGGCCGUAACUAUAACGGUCCUAAGGUAGCGAAAUUCCUUGUCGGGUAAGUUCCGACCUGCACGAAUGGCGUAAUGAUGGCCAGGCUGUCUCCACCCGAGACUCAGUGAAAUUGAACUCGCUGUGAAGAUGCAGUGUACCCGCGGCAAGACGGAAAGACCCCGUGAACCUUUACUAUAGCUUGACACUGAACAUUGAGCCUUGAUGUGUAGGAUAGGUGGGAGGCUUUGAAGCGUGGACGCCAGUCUGCGUGGAGCCAACCUUGAAAUACCACCCUUUAAUGUUUGAUGUUCUAACGUUGGCCCCUGACCGGGGUUGCGGACAGUGUCUGGUGGGUAGUUUGACUGGGGCGGUCUCCUCCCAAAGCGUAACGGAGGAGCACGAAGGUUAGCUAAUCCUGGUCGGACAUCAGGAGGUUAGUGCAAUGGCAUAAGCUAGCUUGACUGCGAGCGUGACGGCGCGAGCAGGUGCGAAAGCAGGUCAUAGUGAUCCGGUGGUUCUGAAUGGAAGGGCCAUCGCUCAACGGAUAAAAGGUACUCCGGGGAUAACAGGCUGAUACCGCCCAAGAGUUCAUAUCGACGGCGGUGUUUGGCACCUCGAUGUCGGCUCAUCACAUCCUGGGGCUGAAGUAGGUCCCAAGGGUAUGGCUGUUCGCCAUUUAAAGUGGUACGCGAGCUGGGUUUAGAACGUCGUGAGACAGUUCGGUCCCUAUCUGCCGUGGGCGCUGGAGAAUUGAGGGGGCUGCUCCUAGUACGAGAGGACCGGAGUGGACGCAUCACUGGUGUUCGGGUUGUCAUGCCAAUGGCACUGCCCGGUAGCUAAAUGCGGAAGAGAUAAGUGCUGAAAGCAUCUAAGCACGAAACUUGCCCCGAGAUGAGUUCUCCCUGAGACUUUAAGUCUCCUGAAGGAACGUUGAAGACGACGACGUUGAUAGGCCGGGUGUGUAAGCGCAGCGAUGCGUUGAGCUAACCGGUACUAAUGAACCGUGAGGCUUAACCUU